UACGUAGGGGGCAAGCGUUAAUCGGAAUUACUGGGCGUAAAGCGUGCGCAGGCGGUUAUGUAAGACAGAGGUGAAAUCCCCGGGCUCAACCUGGGAACUGCCUUUGUGACUGCAUAGCUGGAGUACGGCAGAGGGGGAUUGAAUUCCGCGUGUAGCAGUGAAAUGCGUAGAUAUGCGGAGGAACACCGAUGGCGAAGGCAAUCCCCUGGGCCGGUACUGACGCUCAUGCACGAAAGCGUGGGGAGCAAACAGG
rnacentral:rRNA from 1 species